rnacentral:rRNA from 1 species
AAUAUUUGACAAUGGAGGGAACUCGGAUGCAGCAACGCCGCGUGAGUGAAGAAGGUGUUCGGAUCGUAAAACUCUGUCAUUGGUGACGAAUAAAUGACGGUACCCUUGGAGGAAGCCCCGGCGUACUACGUCCCCGCAGCCGCGGUAAUACGUAGGGGGCAAGCGUUGUCCGGAAUUAUUGGGCGUAAAGGGUGCGUAGGCGGCCUUUUAAGUCAGAUGUGAAAGCCCACGGCUUAACCGUGGGACUGCAUUUGAAACUGGAGGGCUUGAGUAUCGGAGAGGGUAGUGGAAUUCCCAGUGUAGCGGUGGAAUGCGUAGAUAUUGGGAGGAACACCAGUGGCGAAGGCGACUACCUGGACGAAAACUGACGCUGAGGCACGAAAGCUAGGGGAGCAAACA